GGUCCGUUGGCCCAGUUGGUUAAGGCGCCGUGCUGAUAACGCGGAGAUCGGCGGUUCGAACCCGCCACGGACCA
rfam:Zygosaccharomyces rouxii strain CBS732 chromosome C complete sequence.